rnacentral:rRNA from 1 species
ACACGCUACAAUGGGAAGGGACAAUAGGUUGCGAAGCCGCGAGGUGGAGCCAAUCCAGCAAAACUUCCCUCAGUUCAGAUUGCAGGCUGCAACUCGCCUGCAUGAAGUUGGAGUUGCUAGUAAACGCAGGUCAGCCAUACUGCGUUGAAUACGUUCCCGGGGCUU